UGUGUCCGACUCGGCAGCAGUGGUGUGUGUUUACUGCCAAGUGCGAAGCAGUUACCCUUGGGGCGUCGGGGGUGGGGAGGGGUUGGAGACUGGGACGGAAGAACGGGGAAAGGCGGGGCCGGCGGCCGCGCCAGGAGCUAGCGUAGCUUCUGCCGUUAGGGCACCCUCCUUCCUUACUAAACACCGACUCUCCCGUCAGCCUCCAUGUGGUGUUGUGUGUGCGCUUCCCAGUUUUCCUGAGAGUGAAGAUCUCGAAGGAUUUCAUAGGUAUUUUUUUUCUUUGCUAUGUCAUCGUAGUCAGUGGUGGCAGAAAAGCGCUGAAGGCCCGGCUCGUUAGGCGUGAGAGUGGCCAAAGUGUUUGAGUUAGGUAUGGGGCAGUUCACCCUGUGGCGAGUUAGGGUGGAAUGUUUGCCCUUGGGACGGCGUAACGGAAAGGCACGGAGGUUGGGCGGUCCAGGUUAAUUUGAAGGCUGAUUUUGGCUGAAGGUCUGGCGACAGCAUCGGAUCCCACGUAGCAACUUUGGCCUGGCGCAAAAGAAGGAAGCUCUAACCCUUGGGAGUCUGGACAAAGGCUUUGGGCUAUAGAAGCGAUUCCUUCGGAUGAUCCCCAUUUGAGGAUGAUGGAUGUUAUGGGAAAUCCUGUGCCCUGUGGAUUCGUCUUCAUUUACAGUUCCUAUUAACGACUAUGGCUCUGUCGUCAUGCCUUUGGUUUUUAUUUUAACCAUCUACAUUAUAAAAGGAUAAAAGGCAGAUCUUCAUAAAGAAUAAUUGUGGACCGGGCUAGAUUAUUUUCUGCAAGGGAAACUCAUGCAUUUAGAAUUUCAUCAUAACUUUGGGUUUUAAGGAAUAGUCAUUUCCCCCCACCGUAUCUGGAGAAUGACUUGUUACUCUCUAGUUAAAAUCAGAUGGACCUGAGAUAAUACCUAUUUAAUAGUCUCGUUUCCCUAUCAGGCUUGAUUAGAAGAUGCACAUUUCGUAUUGUUUAGUAAUGGUGAUCAAGUGUGAUGAAUCCUGGAUAAAAUCAAAAUUACUUAAAAUGAACUUAAUUUCAAGCUUUUCAGGACUCACUUCAUCUUUUCAUAGGUUAGAAGUUCUAACAUCACUGUCUUUAAAUCAACACAGUCGCAAAAAUACUUCUGUUACAUUCAUAAGUAGAAACAAUUCUAAGUGCAGUGUACUUUAGGGUAUUUUGUGUGUUUCUAUUUUUGUGUUAUGUUCUAAGAGUAGAAUUUCUGGUGAAUUUGCUUAAGGAAAUGACCUAUGGGAACCAUAGGAAAAGUGCUCAUUUUGAGAACUGGUCUCUUACAGAUGGCCUCCUAGGUGUGUCAUUGUUGAGGGAUAAAAUGGUACGUUACCCUACCAGCUAAAAGGGAAAAAAGUUAAUUGUUAGCUUUAUGUGGCAAAUUAGACAAAAUAUUUUGUCUGCUUGGAUUGGAACUCAUGAGAUUUGUACUCCUGGAACUAUUUAGUUCAAAUAUUGUUUUUAAGCUGAGGAUAAACUAGAAAUUUUUUGAAUUUGACAUGUUAUUCCUUGAAACGUCCCUAUGUAGCUUGUCGAUAUAUUUAUGUUCUCAGGGCAUAUCCCUUUUUAAGUUUUUUAAAAAGUUGAGGAUAGACAAAAUGGCAUGUAUCUUACUUGCUUUGGAGCUAAGUUAAUUUGUAUAGGAAGGAAUCUUGGAACUUUAAUGUGGACAACUAGUACAGAAGCCAUUUAUAUAGUUUUUUAAAAGUUGGUGUGGAUAUUGGUUUGUUGAAGGAACCAGGUUUGUACUCAUUUUUAUUUUUGGUACUGUGGAUUUUUCAUAAACGAUUUUUUUAGGGCAGUUUUUUUAGGUUUACAGCAAUAUUGAGCAGAAGAUGCAGAGAUUUCCUAUAUACCCCCUGCCCGCGCCCAUGUACUUUGUAAAUAUUUUAAUAGUAUUAAUAGUCAAUAUUUUAAGUAUCAAUUUGGCAUUGAUAAUUCAGAUGUAGAAUAUGGCCAGUAAUUUAGUUGUUAGUUAAAAAGUAAUCAGUGGACCCUUUCCAAAGGAAAAUAAGCCUUGCAGACCUCAAAGAAUAUGUCUUCCAACCACACUUUGUGGAAGAGUGGUACUUAAGUGUAAGUACUGAAUUAAAGCAACAUUUCUUUGCACAUUAAAAACAUAAGUGUAUAAUUAUUAAUUUAGCAACUCUUAUUUGAUAAGAUUACAUUAAAUGUUGUAACUUUGAGUAUCUCUGAAAAUAUUAGAUAUAAAUUUCCUUAAGGAAAUAAUAAGAUUUCUCAGCAGUUAAUACUGAUAAUCCCUAAACAUUCUAAAUAAAUGUGUUUUUAUUUUCUUUAUUGUCAUUUGGGUUUUCUCAGUGCAGGACAGCUUAAAAUGGAAUAAACUUGUUAGCAUAAUAAGAUUCUUGUUUGAACAUUUUCUGUUUGGCUUAGGAUGAAUUUAGUAGUAAUUGUUUUAGGAGUUUAAGAUAAGGAUUAGUAGCAGAGAUUUUUUAUUUUAGGGGUAUUUUAGUGUUUGCCUUAAUUAUAUUAGAAUCAGGAAAUUUAAUUCCCUGUUUGGAAGUGGGAGCUAUAUGUGUAUAACUUAAAAUUUGUAUUCAAAUGGGUAGCCAUGGGUUUGAAUUUAUUACUUUAAAAAUUGGUUUUUGAAUCCAAAACAUUAGUAUUUUGUUCAUUUAUUGUAUCAUUUUGAAUGGUUGCCUUUUUAGUUUGAUUUGGUCUUAUAUUUUAAAAGGGAGGAAAACUGCAAGAGAGUUGGACAUAAGGAGCUAGGUGUUUGGUUUUCUCAUGAGUGGAAGUGACAGAAGUUUUUUUGGGAACUUUUGAUGUGUUUAAAUUGACCUUUUACUUGUAGAACACUUGUCUUUUUUUUUUUUUUUUUAAGUGGAUGUAAAAUUUAUAUACAGUGAAAUGCACAGACUUUAAGGAUAGUAUUCAUUUGAUAAGUUUAUACUCCCAUGUAGCCAACACUCUAAUCAAAAUGUAUAACACUUUCAUCACCGCUUUGUUCUUGCCACUUCCAAUCAAGGAGCUAUUUAAUUUCCAGAAGAUUUUUGUUUUUAAAUAAUUUGCAGAUGUCUACUUGGAAUUUGUACUUCGUUUUUGCUGAAGGAUGAUUAAUUUCCCCUUGGAACAAAGAAGACCAUUUUGUAAUGUCCAUAGUUGUGGUUCCGUAUAUUGCUUCACUUUUAAUAGGUAAUUCUGAAGGGAAUAUCCUAAUCUGGCGUGUUUAAGAUCAAUUACAGGGUCCAAGGAUUAAUUAUAUUUCAUUUUCUUUCCACAGUUAAGUUGCUUUUACAGAAUUAACAGGUCUCCAAGAAAUUUUAAAAAGAUCUCUUCUAGGAGUGAGUCUCAAGAUGCUCUGAAGUGAUUGCACAGAGGUGAUCUUUUGAAGGGGAAAAUGAGCCUGACAAUGCUUUUUUAUGUGAAGAACAAAUAAGGUAAGAUGGUUUGUGAUAUAACUAGAUGCCUAACUGCAAAAAAAAUUAGCUGUUGCCAGAAUAAGUCUCAGCAGUCUUUGUAAAGCAUGAAGUAUUUAAGAAGAAUAGCAAGUUAUUUCUCUGUCCCUGUCUACAUAUUUUCUCUACUUGUUCCCAAGAAAUCCUGUAUGCAAAAGAUUCUUUUUCUUUUUGGUACCAGUUUCAUAGAAUUUUACUUUCCCUGGUCCCACAACUCUCCCUAGUCUGCUUCCUUCUCUCCACAAUUGCUGUGUGGCAGAACACUAACGGCUUCUGCCUAUAGUUCGUUACACCUCAGGACCUUUGUGUAUCUGUGUCCUUUGCCCUACAGGUGUUGCCAGGCAUCCUACGCGUCCCUCAGACUUCUAAUUAAGAAACCAUUCUUUGAUUCGCCAGACUAUUUAGAAUCCUCACAGCACACUAUAUUUUUUCUUUACAGGACUGGUCACAUUAUAAAACUUAAAACAGUUACACAGUACAGGCAUACUUCAUUUUAUUGCAGUUCAUUGUGCUUCACAGAGACUCUUACAACUUAAGGGUUUUGUGGCAAUGCUGCUUCAAGCAAGUCUGUCAGUGCCAUGUUUCCAACAGCAUUUGCUCACUUCGUGUCUCUGUGUCACAUUUUGGUAAUUAUUAACAAUAUUUUAAACUUUUUCAUUAUUAUUACCUGUCUUAAGGUGACCUGUGAUCAGUGAUUAUGACUCACUGGAAGCUCGGGUGAUGGUUAGCAUUUUUUUAGCAAUAAUAUAUUUUCUUUAUGUACACCUUUUUGCUUUUUGGAUCUAAUGCUGUUGCACACUUAAUGGACUAUAGUAUAUAACACUGUAUGUUAACUGUGCUGGAAUUAAAAUAAAAGACUUAAAAAAGUAGACUACAGUAUAGCGUAAACAUAACUUUGAUGUGCACUGGCAAACCUUAAAAUUCAUUUGACUUGCUUUAUUGUGAUGUUCCUUUUGUUGCACAGGUCUGGAAUGCUAUAAUAUCUCUGAGGUAUGCCUGUAUAUUUUUUAAAUGUCUGAACUCUAUGGUAGAUUUUUAAAUCUUUGCUUUGACAACUCAGACCUUUUCUAACUUAUAAUACUAAAUCUUCAGAGUGAUGCCUGGCAUAUAACAGGUGCUCAAUAAACAGUUGUUGAAUGAACAUUUUAUGAGGUAAAUACUAGAUCUCCAUUUGAGAGAUAAGGAAGCUGAAGAAUGAAAAACUUGCUCAAUAUUACCCCAUUAGAAAGUAGGAACGUUGAUACCCAAAAACAUAUCUACCACACAGCUCUGAGAUCCUGGGUGUUUUAUGAAUCUCUCCUCCCACGAGCUAUUUAGCUAACUGAUUAAGAAUACUGGUAAGGGAAGUGGUGUGACAGAAUAAACUAGCUAGGACCUCUGGAAUGAGAAAGAAAAUCUUGGGGUUCAAAGAGAUUGAAGGAACUUUAGUGACAGUUAACAAAUGGCAUGUCAGAGGCAUUAGAAAAAGGAGAAUGAAGAUACUUCUAAACAGGACUCCAGUCUUCUAGGAAAACUAAGGGAUCAGUUUUGAACCUACCACUCAGUGCAGUGUUUUUCUUGUAGGGAAUGGUGCCUAUCACACUCAUCAAGAACCACACUAAUCACAGUAUAGAGAGGAUAAAAACAGUGUCUGUAGUCAGGACUUUUGGGUUUGGCUUCCAGCAUUAUUAGUUAUGGGACCCUCUGGGAAGUUUCUUAAUCUACUUCUGCCUCAGUUUCCUCUUCCAUAGAAAGGAGGACAAUAAAUACUUUUGUCAAAGUUGAUGGGAGGAUUAAAAUAUAAUUAAAAUGCAUAGAUCAGUAGCUGUCCAAAGUAAUUGCUAUAUAUAAACAUUUGCUAUUAUUUUACAAAUGACAGAUAAAAGCUUGAUCUGUUUUUUAAAAGAUAGGACAUGAAAGGAGUGAAAAUUAAGAAACCUUAGCUAUAGUACUUGGAAGGAAGGGAAACUUAGGAAGCCAUCUAUUGAUAGACAAUAAAUAGAAAUAUCACGUGUGCAUAACUGAUAUAAAACUAAGAUGAGAUUUUGACAUUGGAAAACAUAUGUACACAUAUUAAAACAUGUAUCCUUCUUCAUUUUAGUCAAACUGUAAUCUGAUUUUAUGAAUUAAAUUUCUUGGAACCAGUGGAGUAGUGGGAAGAGAAGGCCCAGGUGAACUCUUUAUGGAUAGUUAGUUAAUAAAUAAACAACUGGGGGAAUCUUCAAAAUUGUCAACUGGCAGAUACUCCCAAAUUCUAUCACUCAUUAAUAGACAAUUCUGGUUAUAUCUUGAGAUUAUCUGGUCUUUUUCACUUCUACUAUAGAGAUAAUAUGGACAAAGUCUGUGUGUAAUAUUUUAUCUAUUUCAGCAAAAAUACUUUUGUGCCUUUACUCCUCCCUUUAAAAGGUAAGAGGGUUGGACAGUUACUCUUCAGAUGUGCUUGUUGAAGCCAGGCUGUGAUAUUUAGAUGCUCUAACAUUAGUUGGCUACUUGCAUUUGCAUCUAACUAUCAGUACAAAGCAAGCCUUAUUAUAAACCUACACUUACUUCAUAGCAUACUGAUUAAAUCACACAAAACUGGUGAGAAUUCUGAUUCUGCUGUUUACUAGCUAAGUGGCUGUGGUCAAGUUAAGUUACUUAAAGCCUCUAAACCUGUUUCUGUAGUUAUAAGAUGUGAAAAACCACAGCACCUACUUCAUAGGAUUCUGAGCAGUGAAUGAGAAAAUGCAUGUGAAGCUUUGGGUAUUCUGCACAGCAUAAGCAAUCAAAUGUUAGCACUAAUCAAUGUGAUGGUUAGCACACUUAAGUGACUUACAUCACCAGUCAAAAUGAUACAGUAUUUCAUGUAAUGGCCUUAUUAACUAGCUGUUAAUAAAUUAACUCUUGGAACUUUACCAUGGUGAAUUUGUUAAGUUAAAAAUACAUAAUGAGAAAAUCAUAAAAGUUGAGCUAUUUGGGACUGCACACAGUAACAUGAGCCAUUGUAGUAUUCAAACUUAAGAUAUUUUUACCCAUACAGAUUAAUGCUUUCUUUUAAAUAUUUCCAUCUUAAGAGAAGAACUUAACUUAGAUAGAUAUAGUCCUACCUCCAAAUCUUCUUCUUCAUCAAUCUUUUGUAUGUUUUGGUAGGCAGCAGUAUAGACCUCUAAAGCCUUGCCAUGAAAUAACAUUUCAAUAGUGAUAAAUUCUGAAAAUAUAGUCUAAAAAAAAAAAAACCACAAAGAUUUGAAUUUAAACAAUCAUAUGAAUUUGUGAAUUUAGUAAAUUUAUUCCUUAUUAUUGUUUUUGUAUUUUAUGAAAUACAGAGGUAUCUCUUUUUCCACAGGGCACAUCAAGUAUGAAAGAUAAUGGGAAUAAAAAUAGUUGAAAAGACUGUAGCACAACGUUGAAAUUAUAUAAAAUAUUUCUUAUCCCACCAUUUAAUUUCCUCCUAUUUUUUAAUAAGUCAGUUCUUUGUAUACCUUGUAAUUGAUAUUUGUGAUAAAAAAAAGAUCUGACUAAAAUGUAUAUCAUAUGUACUCUGUUACCAUAUGUCUCUAAAUAUUAGAUAAAGGAGGUCAGUUCUAAACCUGAUAUUUUAGUAACUCCAACUGAUGUUGAAACAAUAGUAUGUCUUUUUAGACAGGAAUUCUAUCCCAUCAUAUUUCUAUGUGUUACUUGUAUUCUCUAGCCACAAAGGACUUACUUGGUAAUUAUAUUGCUACUACUGAUAAUAGCACCAUGGAUUUGCAUAGAGCUUUUCCAGUUUACGAAUACGUGACUUGCCUCCUGUUGCUCAUAGCUAGAAUGUUGUGACUUGGGUCUGAUUCUUCGAAGGUUAUAGCUCUUGCUUAUUGUACUGUGCUCUUCUUGCUGGAAUCCAUCAUUUCCUUCCCAAAUAAACUGUGCAUCUAUGGAGCAUGAUGACAGCUUACAACAAGGAAGAUAAUGAGCUAAGAGAAUGAAUGGAGAUGUGCAUGUUGAUUUAAGCAGGGUGAGAUAAUCGGUAGGUAAGGAAAGGAUACAAACCAGAAAAGUUUUCAAUAAAAUAGGAUCUUAUCCUUUUGUUAAUUAUUUUGUCUCUUAUCAAAAUAAAAAAAUCAGAGCAUUAAUAUAGAGAGGAGUGGACAGAAUAAGAAUAAGGUAGAAAGUACCAAAGCAUUGUCCUUAAGGGGCAAGAGAAAAGAGAUGGGCUACAACAGACAAGAGUCAAAUACCCAUUUCCCUUUGUUGCUGCUCUCCUGUGUUAGUCAUCAAAUAGGAGUGGCCCUGCACUUUGGAAGACAGUGUUAUAGGUAUCCCUUAGUGUCCUGUGAUUUUUUUUUUUUUCUCCUUCAUGUCCAUUCUUUCUUCCUUAAGAAUAUUUAAGGGAGUACUGAUAGGCUUCUGAUUACUACUCAGUGGAAACAGAUCAGUAGUUGAAAGUAUCCCUUCUGGCCUAAAAAGACUGGGCUCUGGGACAAGACACAAGUAUGACUAACAGUGACCCUUACUGUCACUUCAUAUAGGUCACAGACGGUUCUGGUAUACUGGAAUGGCAACUGACUAAUAAGCAGUAUUAUGACCAAGAAUCUUUAGACCAAGAAUGAAGUCGCUUUUGAUUAAGACUGGCACUUAUUCACUUAGUUGUCCGUCUUCCUAAGAUAGCAGUCUAGCUAGAAAGGAGUCAAGUGCCCUUAGGAGUGUGAAAACUCCAAGAGGGAAAACAGCAGAACCAGAAGUCAAUGAUAUGCCAAAAUACUUAAGAUUCCUACUUGGUUCUUGGUCUGCAGCGCAUUUUAGGCAAUGGGAAUAACCAAGCAGAGGUUUACAACUUUCCUUCUGAAUCUUAAAUUUAGAGAUUUUCUACAUUUACUAAAUAAAGAACUACGUAAAAAAUAUAGACAUAGCUUGACUUUCUUUUUAUUCAAGGCUGUUACAGAAAUUUGUUUUCAUUUAUUUAGGUUUAAUGUUUCAGCUAAGUACAGUAGAGAAUCAACAUUUUACAAUGUUACACAGUGCACUCUCUUUUUUAGUUUUUCUUUUUUGGGUAUUUAUAAACCAUCUGUUUACUUACGUGGAUCUAUUAUGUGGAGAGAGAAGAUAAGGUAUUUGCUUUAUGCGAUAAAAGUACUUGAGAAAUAAAGUAGCCUCAAAUAAGGGAAUUAAGCUUAAUCAGUCAAGUGAGUUAGGUAUUACUCCUAUUUUUAAAUAUUUCUACAAAUGGACAUUCUAAAUCUUUAUAAUAGACUGUCACACUAUUUAAUAACUAGUGAAAUCCAAAUACUUACAACCUUAUUACACCUAAAUCAGUAGAUUAGGCUUAAUUCAAAUCUAUUCCACUGUGGUAACUUUGUGGAAUAUGCAAACAUUUCAAAAUAAUUUAAAACAUUUUUCAAGUAUUUGAAUAUAGUUAUUAAAUUUCUGAUGGUCAGAAUCUCUGAAUGUGUCAUCUCUGAACUAACAAUUUUUUAAUACUAGCAUUUUAUAGGAUUUACAUUACCCUUAGCUCAUAAGUGAGCCCUGAAAAAUAUGUAGAUACGUCUUUCCAGUCUCAAUUUAGUUUCAAUUAAUGAUAAGUACUUUGAAAAUUCUCUUUAAUCUAUAAAUGGCUAUUAUUUACUAUGUGGAAGGUGGGGGGGAGGGAAUCACUCUCAGGUUUUGUGAUACUUUGGUUUAAUCCUUUAUGGUUUGAACUUUUAUUUCUUGGCAAAACCUAUAUUGUAACACCUAAAUAAGACGAGACUGGCCCUACUGAUUUUUUAUACUGUUUAUUUUUCUGUCAAAAACCAUAAUGGGAAAUCAGAAGUACUGGUAAUCUAGUAUCCCAGACUUGGAAUUUUUGACCUAAGAGUUAUGAAGCCUAAAGAUAUCAUAAAGAGUUAUAUCCCUGAGUAUAGCGAGGAGGGAAUACUGCCAAUUAAUUAUACUCUUUUUUUUUUCUAGUUAGAAUUUCACAAAACAUCUGAAGAUAGGCAGAAGGAAGGAGAAUAAUAGCAAGGAACAGAAAAGUUAGGUGACACCUAGUAUAAGAAGAACAUAAAAAGCAUGUUUUUGAAAUUAAAUAGUUUCAGUGAAUCACCAGAAGGGUGGUGGAACUUUUUAGGACCCAAUCAUAUUUAGAAAUAAUUUUCCCCAAAUAAAUUUAGCCUAACUUUUCAGUGAUCUCAUGUAAUCUUAUCUGCAGUGGGUGAGUAUCAUCAGGGACAGACGCAUUAAUGAGUUAUCUUUUUUUCCCCUUUUCAAUUUUAUUUUGUAUGACUAGAGGGUAAUUUGGGCAUGUACUUAAUUUUUACUGAUAGGAGAUGGGGGAACUAAUCUGAAAUUCUCUAUUGACAAGUAUUCUGUAAAGCAGGAUAGUAUAUAGGAGUUAAGAUUAUGGGCUCUGGAUUAAGAUAAAUCUGGGUUCCAAUCAUGAUCGAACAUAACAGUUAUAUAAUAUUAAGCAGUUUAUCUGUACUUUUCCUUAAUUUUUCUCAUCUGUACAAUGGGGGAUAAGAACAGUAUCAAACUCAUAAGUUUGGGGGUUAAGGAUUAAAUGAGAAAAUCCAAGAAAAGGUAUAGUAUGGUGACUGACUUAGAGUAAGUGCUCAACACAAGUUAGCUAUUUUUAUCACUCAAGAAGUAAACUUGCUAAGUUAGAAAAUGUUCCUUAUGUUAAUAUUAAAGCCUCUACCUGGUUUAAUUAGCAAGCAACACUUUUAACAAAAAAGUCAUGAAAGGUCUGACUAAUAACAUUUUGGCAAAUAAAGGGGAAAUAAUGACUCCAGAGUAGAGGCUAUUCAAUAAGUGAUGCCAGGAGAACUUUUAUCUACUUGAAAAGAAUAAAGCUAGGUAUCUACCUUAUACCAUAUGCAAAACACAACUGCCAGAUAAAAUGUUUAAAUAUUUAAAAUAUUUUUAAAACUUACAACUACUACAAGAAAAUAUAAGCAAGUAUUUACAAUCUUGAGGAUGAAAACAACCUUUCAAACAUGACACCAAGUAUGAAACCAAAAAAGAGACCAACAGAUCUGGCAACAAACAUAAAACUUUAUGGCACAAACACACCAUAAACAACAAAAUGGGAAAAUACAUUUGUGACAUUCUCUUCAAUAUAAAAGGUUAAUUCUCUCAAUAUAAGGAUUUUUUACAAAUUAAUAAGCAAACUGCCAACACUCAAUAAAAAUACAGGCUAAGGACAAGUGUGGGUAAUUUACUAAAGAAGAAAUAAAUGUAUUAUUAAAUAUAUGAAAAAAUAUUGUCUUAAUAGUAGUAAGUGCAACUUAAGAUUACACUGAUUUUUUUCACCUAUCAGACUAAUUAUUAAAAAGACUACUACUCAUCAUUGGUAUAUUGGGUUACUCAUGCAGGUUUUAUAGAAAUGUAAACCAGUUAAAACUUUGUGGGCAGGAGUUUAAAAGCUUUGUGGACAGAAAGUAUCAAAAUUUAAAGGGUGUAUGCUCUUUGAAUCAGAAAUACCACUCUGUUAAUUUAUCCCAAAAGAACAACUGGAUCAGCAAAAAGCCGAAUGUUUAAUGAUGCAUUGAGAUCUAUACCUGCAAAAAUAAUGUUGAUAACACCAAAAAGGACUGGUUAGACAAAGUAAUAUAUAUCCAUAGCAAAAACUGUGAGGAUACCAAAAGGAUGAUACACAUCUGUUUCUUAGCAAAUGUCUGUGAUAUAUUAAAUUUUAAAAAGAGAUGCUACAUAUAGUGUGGUCCACUUAAAUAUAACUGUAUAGGGGUAAUGAUAUUACCUCCCUCAUAAAGAUGUUGUGAGGAGUAAGUGAGUGUAUCCACAUAAAAUGCAUAGAAUAUGUGACAUAGUCAACACCUAAGAAAUAUUAUCCUAUCUCUUGUGUAUAUGUACAUAGAAAAAAGUUGUAAUGACAUAAACCAAAAUGCUAAUUUAUUAUUUCUGAGUAGUAGGAUUAUUAUACUUUCUUAAUAGUUUCAUGCAGAAAAUUUAUGGUUAUUUUAUAUUUAGUUAUAAGAAAAAUAAAGCUAUUAAAAUUAAAUUUAGAAGAUGUUUCUUGUUCAUGUCAGCUACUUUGCCACAUACUGAAUUCCUGUUCCUCUCUGUUCCAGGAGUGACCCCCUGUUUAAGAUCCUUUCUGUAGGCCUGAAAUUCCCUUGACAUUCACCAUGUAACUGAUGAUUUUUCCUAUUAUAUGGGAAACAAAUGGGAUUGUGAUUUUUCAUCCACAUUCUGUACUCUUAAGUUCCAUACCAACUUUUCUCAAGCCAAUUUUUUGCAAGAUUCCUGUGAAGUCUUUAUCUAAAAAUUGUGCUACCUUGCUGAUUAAUUAAUUGUGCUACUUUUGCUGCUACCAAAAUUCAGAUGGACUUGUCAGUUAAACCUACCUCCCACACAGUUGUACAGUAAUCAGCAGUGCUCACUCAUUUCUGCCCCCAGAGAGGUUAGAGGAGCCAGAAGUUCUGCCCCCAUCUGAACCAGUAGCCUGAUAAAAGGUAAGAAUAAGAAUGUUCUAGGUUUGUUUCUCCCAAAAUUAUGAGUGGCAGCAACGAUUUUACUUUUCCAAGAAUUUCUAUCAUAAACAGAAAUGUAAGACAUGCUAAAAUCAACAUAGGGGGGCAGUAGUGUCACUCUUUUUGACUUGUGUUUGAAACUUCUGGGAUUUGUGCAUCCCUCUUUAUCAUAAAAGAUCUCAAAUAAGGUCUGACUUGGAAAAGAAACAAGUUGAUAGUGAUGAGGAAAGAUGUAUAAAAUGGAGAUUCAGAACCCUAACAGAGUUUAAUUUUGACCUCUGGAACUCAUUUCUGGAAGUUUGGUAGAUUGUGGGGGGUCUGUAUUUAAAGUGUAGGUUGUCACAGAUGAUAUAUAUCUUGUAUGUAGAAAAUCUUAAGGAAUCUACUAAACUAUCAGCACUAAUAAAUGAAUUCUGUAAGGUUGCAGGAUACAGGAUCAGUCUGCAAAAACUGAUUAUAUUUGUGUGCAUUUGCAAUGAAUAAUCCAAAAAUGAAAUUAAGUAAACAAUUCCAUUUACAAUAGCAUGAAGGAUUAUAAAAUACUUAGGAAAAAUUGUGAGAAAAGAAACACAAAAUGUAUCCUCUGAACACUAUAAAAUGGUUAAAAUAAACUAAGGAAUACUUAAAUAAAUGGAAAAAUAUCCCUAUGUUUAUGGCCUGAAAAAAUUAAUUGUAAGAUGGCAAUACUCCCCAAAUUGAUUUACAGAGUUGAUGCAAUUCCUACCAGAAUCCCACCUGACUUCUUUAUAGAAACUGAGAAGCUGAUUCUAAAAUUCAUACAGAAUUACAACAGAUCCAGAAUAGCCAAAACAAUCUUUGAAAAGAAGUAGAAGAACUUAUACACCCUGAUUUUAAAAUUCAUCAUAAAGCAAUGCUAAUCAAUGUAAUGUGGUACUGGCAUAGGACAGACCUAUAGAUCAAUGAAAGGGAAAGUUCAGAAACAAAACCAUGUCAACUGAUUUUUACCAAGGGUUCCAAGGCUAUUCAAUGGAAAAGAAUAGCUUCUUCAACAAAUGGUGCUUGGGCAACUGGACAGUCACAUGCAAAAAGAUGGAAGUUUAACUUUCAGCUCACACCAUACAUCAAAAUUAAUUCAAAUGGAUCAAAGACUUAAAAGAACUAUGAAAACUAUACAACUGUUAGAAGAAAACAGGGAUAAAUCUUCAUGAUCUCAGAUUCGGCAAUGGAUUGUUAGAUAUGACACUAAAAACACAAGCAACAAAAGAAACAUAUAUUGACUUCAA